rnacentral:rRNA from 1 species
UACGUAGGUGGCAAGCGUUGUCCGGAUUUAUUGGGUUUAAAGGGUGCGUAGGCGGUCUUAUAAGUCAGUGGUGAAAUACGGCAGCUCAACUGUCGAGGUGCCAUUGAUACUGUAGGACUUGAGUACAGACGAGGUAGGCGGAAUUGACGGUGUAGCGGUGAAAUGCUUAGAUAUCGUCAAGAACACCGAUAGCGAAGGCAGCUUACUAGGCUGUAACUGACGCUGAGGCACGAAAGUGUGGGGAGCGAACAGG